UGGCGGUGUAGCUCAGCUGGUUAGAGCGCACGACUCAUAAUCGUGAGGUCGACGGAUCGAGCCCGUCCACCGCUACGCCCCGAUAGCUCAGUGGUAGAGCGCCAUCUUGGUAAGAUGGAGGUCCCGGGAUCGAUUCCCGGUCGGGGCUCAG
rnacentral:tRNA from 1 species